AUUAGGUGAAAUUUGGUCCAAUUUUGACUAGUUUUAUUAUUAACAAAUCAAAAAGAAAAAGCUAUCAUUUUUCUCUUCUCCUUCACCGAAAUAUGCAGCAAAGAAAGGGCUUUGAAGUUGGAAAAUUUCAGCAACAUAUUUCCCUUGCUUAUGAUGAAAAUCGAGAUUUGGACCUAGAACGGAAAGAAAUCGAUUAAGGGAUAAUUACGUCUUUUUUUUUCACCUUUGUGGUAUCGAGAGUUUCCAGGUUAGUUCGGGUUGGAGGCCGUCAGAGAUAUUAUCACACUGUCAAGCUAACGCUAUUGGUGUAGUGAUUUCAAGUACUUUGAGCCUAUGGCAUGUAUAGGAGUUUAAAUAUUAGAGUAUGUGAUAUGGCUUUAACCAUAUGUGUUGGCCUAUUUUGAUUAUGGGGUUGUAAAUCUAUUUUAAUUAUGCAUGCAUGUGCUAUGGUAUUAUGUGAUGAGUUUAUAAUGAUUAUAGUAUGAAUGUGGUAAAAUCUAUGAUAUUUAUUGCAUGUGAAAUUGCCAUAAUCAUGACAUGUUAGGAAUGUUUAAGUACUUAAUUUUGCCAUGUUGUAUGUUAUUGUAUAAGUAUGCGUGUAUCUAUUGUGAGUGUGACAAAAUGGCUUGGAAAAUAGCCUUGUAUUUGUCUAGGUUUUUGGACACGGGUUUGGGACACGGGCGUGUCCCUAGCACACGGGCGUGUGCUCUAUACCCACAUGGGCGUAUGAAGCCUUGAUGCAAGAGAUUUUCUAAGUUUUUCAUGAGUUUUCGGUUGGGUCCCGAACCACUCCAGAUGUAUGUUUUGGGCCUCGUAAGCCCGUAUAUGGGACAGAUUGUAUGUGAAAAUAAAAGUUUUUAAUUAUUUGAGAUUUCAUGGCCCUGUUUAGUAUGGAAGUAUUAGUAAAAGUCAGGUAACACCUCGAACACUGUCCCGGCGUUGGAUGCGGGCGAGGAGUAUUAUAUUAUCCAACAAGGUUUUCAAAUCUAUUUAGUUUAUAUGAUGAUGAGUUACGAUGCUUUAGUUAUACGGUAAUAUUGUUGUCAAGCCAAGUGGAACGAGGUAAAGCCUAUAACAAUCCCUAUCCCUCCAAAAUGAGGCGUGAUCUUUUCUGAAAUUUCUCUUAUUCGGUUUUUUUCUUUGCAGGGUUUAAUACAAGACAGAGAUUUGAAAUGUCACGCGCAUGUACUACGAAAGGAGUGUGCCACAUUUAGACUUUUAAUACCAACAUUAAUUUUAUUGCAAUGGACACAUGUGACUACUUAAUUCGCUGAAUCUUUAGGAAACAUUGUAAAAAAGUUUAUGAAAACGAUAAUAGUGCCUGGAAAAAUUUUUCUUGCUUUUUGAAA